AUUUGAUGCAAGGUUAAGCAGUAAAUGUGGAGCCGUAGCGAAAGCGAGUCUGAAUAGGGCGUUUAGUAUUUGGUCGUAGACCCGAAACCAGGUGAUCUACCCUUGGUCAGGUUGAAGUUCAGGUAACACUGAAUGGAGGACCGAACCGACUUACGUUGAAAAGUGAGCGGAUGAACUGAGGGUAGCGGAGAAAUUCCAAUCGAACCUGGAGAUAGCUGGUUCUCUCCGAAAUAGCUUUAGGGCUAGCCUCAAGUGAUGAUUAUUGGAGGUAGAGCACUGUUUGGACGAGGGGCCCCUCUCGGGUUACCGAAUUCAGACAAACUCCGAAUGCCAAUUAAUUUAACUUGGGAGUCAGAACAUGGGUGAUAAGGUCCGUGUUCGAAAGGGAAACAGCCCAGACCACCAGCUAAGGUCCCAAAAUAUAUGUUAAGUGGAAAAGGAUGUGGCGUUGCCCAGACAACUA
rnacentral:rRNA from 1 species